AAGGUUUCCACUCUGUAUUUAACGAGUUUGAAUUAUAGGGGUAGGAAAUACACGAGCGGCGGACGGCUGAGUAACACGUAGGAACUACCCAAUGAGGAUAAGCAACCGGAACGGUGUCUAAUACCGCGUGUGCUCUUCGGAGUAAAGCUACGGCGGUUUGGGAACGGCCUGCGCAUGAUUAGCUUGUUGGUGAGGUAAUAGCUCACCAAGGCGACGAUCAUUAGCUGGUCUGAGAGGAUGAUCAGCCAGACUGGGACUGAGAACGGCCCAGACUCCUACGGGAGGCAGCAGUAGGGAAUUUUCCACAAUGGGCGAAAGCCUGAUGGAGCAACGCCGCGUGCAGGACGAAGGCCUUCGGGUUGUAAACUGCUUUUAUAUGUGACGAUUAUGACGGUAGCAUAUGAAUAAGGAUCGGCUAACUCCGUG
rnacentral:rRNA from 1 species